rnacentral:rRNA from 1 species
CAGCAGCCGCGGGAAUACGUAGGUGGCAAGCGUUGUCCGGAAUUAUUGGGCGUAAAGCGCGCGCAGGCGGAUAGGUCAGUCUGUCUUAAAAGUUCGGGGCUUAACCCCGUGAUGAGAUGGAAACUGCCAAUCUAGAGUAUCGGAGAGGAAAGUGGAAUUCCUAGUGUAGCGGUGAAAUGCGUAGAUAUUAGGAAGAACACCAGUGGCGAAGGCGACUUUCUGGACGAAAACUGACGCUGUGGCGCGAAAGCCAGGGGAGCGAACGGGAUUAGAUACCCCGGUAGUCCCUGUCUCUUAUACA